UUCAUCGACUCAACUGCUUUUCUUAUUUUGAUUUAUUCUUCUGCUUUACGUGAGAGAUGCUGUGGAUAUAUAUGAGUUUUUUAUAUGUUGAUUUAUAGAAGUGCCAAUUGUUAGAGGUACUGCUUCUAAGCUGACUGACUGCUAAUAGCAUUUUGGUAGGUAGUUACAUCCAUUUGAUAUCUAGUUAACUUUUCUGAAAUGACAGUACUAACAAGAAUUUAUAAGAAUCUGCUAUUUUGUUAUUCCUCGUCAUCAUUUUCAAUGUUUAGCAAGUGGGUUUUCUGAUUGGUUUGUUCUUGUUGGACUUAGAUUAGUAUGAUAAGAUUUUUCAAAGUAGCGAUGGGUUACAUGUUUGGAUGCGGAGGAGGCUGUAAACUCUAAGAAUCAUGUGAUUAUUGAACCAAUGGGGAAAUUAUCUUAUAUGCUGAUCAUGCUUAGACCACUAAUCUACUACCUAUGUGGAAUUUAUGAUGCAUAUUCACACUUGUUUUGGAAUAGAGUGAGGUUAGUGGAUGGUAUGUUCAUGGGUCUGUAAGACAUCUUUUAAGUUUAUGAAAAAUAUCAAGCCUGAAGAGUAAACUAAGUAUGGAACAAUGAAACCAUUUUAAUGUUGGACUCAUUUAAAGAAUUUUUUUUUUUUUUUUGCUGAUGUGGAUAUGAUUAAUGGGAUAGAAGAGGUUUUAGGACCUGGUGUAUUUAGAAAUUCUGGAUAAAUGUUUUGCAAAAAAGAGCUUAAAUAUAUCAUGGGUAAGUCCGUUGGCUUAAAUUUUGCAUAGAACUAGAUGCCCAUGUUAGUCUAAAUCGAUUUCAAGAGAUUGUAGGGUAUCAAGAUCUUGAAGAUCACUUCUCUGUGAUCGUAUCUGUUUCUCCUUCUUAUUCGAUGGAUCAACUUCCUAAAAUGAACUCAUAACACUUGUAAUGGGCUGUUAAGUGUAUUGGUAUUAUGGGUGUUGUGUUAGUGUUACCACAGGGGUAUUUGGGGAGAUAGUGUUGGUUCUUUAUAUUUAUUUAUGUAAUGUUUAGUAGUAAUGUGAUUUUAAAGGUGUACUUGUAAAUGCUCCUUUAUAAUAUUAUAUAAACAUCAUAAGAGCUCACGGUUUGGCAUUCUGUACAAACCGUGAGCCUGUUUUCUAUCCAAAGCUUGCAUCUCUCUCUCUCUCUCUCUCUCCCUCACUAUCACUCUCUUUGAUGUGCAAGCCACCUAUUGCUGCAACUCACUACUAUGAAGACCUAUAAAAAACUAGGGUUGUGAUUGCUUAUGCCAGUUUCCGAUCAUUCAUAAGAAGUUGAUGAAGCCCUCAUCUGAAACUAAGGUUUCUGCGUAAGGAAGGAUUUAUAUCAUCUGUGCGUGGUCUUUUCUACUCUGAUUUCUUGAUCUAAGAUGCCGCUGCUCUCUUAUUAAUUGAAGAUUUUAUUACUUCUAUUAUGUUCCCUGCGAUUGCUUGUCUACGAUGUCUUUGUUUUUAUAUUCCAAACCCUAAUCUGAAAAGGAUUUUUCAAGAUCUUACUGAGUUGUUAUCAGAUUGGUGCAAUAUUCUGGGAUAUUUUUCUCCCUAUACUGAGGGAGUCUCGACUCUGAUUUGAGGGCAAUCAGAGUUCUCUAGCCCCUUGCGAUUUGAAGUUUCUGAUUUUCUGCUCAGAGAAGUAUAUUGUGGUUUUCUCCUUCUGCGGUUUGAAUUCUUUUAUUGUGGUUUGAUUGAUGGUUGAUGGCUGACCCUAAACCUACUGCGAAUGGUGUGAAUGUUUAGAUUUUUUUUUUGGUGAAUAAGUGUCCAUAUUAAUACUAUCAAACUCAAUAGAGUUUCUAAUUACUUGUUAUGGGCGCAGACGAUUAAGGUUUAUAUUAAUCCUAAAGGGAAGAUGAAGUAUCUCAAAUCCAUACCGCCUUCUUCUGAUUCUAAAGACUAUGAGGAUUGGAUGUAUGAGAAUGACACUCUUCUCAUAUGGUUGUGGAACAGAUGGACCUUGCAAUUGCAACAAUUGUCAUGUUCCACACCAGUGCCAAAGGAGUUUGGAAUGACUUGAAGGAAAGCUUCUCCCAGGAGAAGAAUAUAUCUCGUAUUUAUGAUUUGUAUUAUAAUUUAUUACCUUCAAUCAAGUGGACAAAUCUUUGAAUGAAUACUUACUGCCUUUAAGGGAAUAUUGGAGGAGCUCAAUAUUCAUCAACCCUCUCACUAUUUGGAAAAAUUGAAGAAUCAAAGACUGAAUUUCAAGUUGCAAAAUUCAUGGCCGAAUUAACUUAUGAUUAUCUGUCAGUUAAGUGCCAGUUGCUUGCUAGGGAGAAGGUGCCUUCCCUGAAUGAGACAUUCUCUUGUCUUUAGCGUAUUGUUACACAUUCCAGAGCUUACAUCUCAUCCUCUCCAAAGGAAAGGUUCUGCGUUUGUCGCUGGUCGUGGCCGUGCUUCUGCCUAUCUUGGGAGAGGUUGUGGCUCAGGGGGAGGUCGUGGUACAGGAUCUUCAGACAGAGAACGAUUGGAGGCAGACUUGAGCAGGAUGGACUAUAUUAUCUUAAUUUUGUUGGACCCUCUAUUGCUGUUACUACUACUUCUAGUGGCACUUUGGGGUAUCUAUCGUUAUCAAAACUUCAGCAUGUGGUACCUAGUCACAAGUCUGUGUCUCACCUUGAGUGUGAAGAAUGUGAACUUGGGAAGCAUCAUCUGUAGUGUGUCUAGAAAUCCUUUAUUUUUGUUAGUACAUUUAGAUAUUUGGAGUCCUUAUUGUGUAAAAAAUAGUGUGGGCUUUUCUUAUUUUGUCACUUUGUGUGACGAUCACUUUUGUCUGACAUGGUUGUAUGUGUUGAGAGAUCGUUCAGAAGUUCUUUCUGUUUUAAAGAUUUUUAUGAUGAAUUAAAGACUAAUUUUGAUACUUC